CGAAAGUCUGACGGAGCAACGCCGCGUGAGUGAUGAAGGUUUUCGGAUCGUAAAGCUCUGUUGUUAGGGAAGAACAAGUACCGUUCGAAUAGGGCGGUACCUUGACGGUACCUAACCAGAAAGCCACGGCUAACUACGUGCCAGCAGCCGCGGUAAUACGUAGGUGGCAAGCGUUGUCCGGAAUUAUUGGGCGUAAAGGGCUCGCAGGCGGUUUCUUAAGUCUGAUGUGAAAGCCCCCGGCUCAACCGGGGAGGGUCAUUGGAAACUGGGGAACUUGAGUGCAGAAGAGGAGAGUGGAAUUCCACGUGUAGCGGUGAAAUGCGUAGAGAUGUGGAGGAACACCAGUGGCGAGCGACUCUCUGGUCUGUAACUGACGCUGAGGCGCGAAAGCGUGGGGAGCGAACAGGAUUAGAUACCCUGGUAGUCCACGCCGUAAACGAUGAGUGCUAAGUGUUAGAGGGUUUCCGCCCUUUAGUGCUGCAGCAAACGCAUAAGCACUCCGCCUGGAGUACGGUCGCAAGACUGAAACUCAAAGGAAUUGACGGGGGCCCGCACAAGCGGUGGAGCAUGUGGUUUAAUUCGAAGCAACGCGAAGAACCUUACCAGGUCUUGACAUCCUCUGACAACCCUAGAGAUAGGRCUUCCCCUUCGGGGGCAGAGUGACAGGUGGUGCAUGGUUGUCGUCAGCUCGUGUCGUGAGAUGUUGGGUUAAGUCCCGCAACGAGCGCAACCCUUGAUCUUAGUUGCCAGCAUUCAGUUGGGCACUCUAAGGUGACUGCCGGUGACAAACCGGAGGAAGGUGGGGAUGACGUCAAAUCAUCAUGCCCCUUAUGACCUGGGCUACACACGUGCUACAAUGGRCAGAAC
rnacentral:rRNA from 1 species